AAAAAGGCAAACCCUGGGUUUUCGUAUCCAACUUUGACUGUCCGUCUUAUAUGAAUUUUUUUUAUAAUUCGUAUUUUCAUUGUUGUUAGAUGAUAAAACAUGAUUAAUAUUUUAUGUGUGAUUUGUCUUUUUAAUUUUUUUCAUAAUUUUUUUAAAUAAGACGGACGGUUAAACGUUGGACACGAAAACCAGGGUU
rnacentral:pre_miRNA from 1 species